rnacentral:rRNA from 1 species
ACGCUCGACACCUACGGAGGCAGCAGUGGGGAAUAUUGCACAAUGGGGGAAACCCUGAUGCANCGACGCCGCGUGGAGGAAGAAGGUCUUCGGAUUGUAAACUCCUGUUGUUGGGGAAAAAGAGGAUGGUACCCAACAAGGAAGUGACGGCUAACUACGUGUCAGCAGCCGCGGUAAUCUGAGCGGGCUGGCAAGGC